CGCACAGUUUUAUCUGUUUUCAAAUGAGCUCCUAUUAAUCUGUUGUACCCUAAGGGAGUAAUAAUCGUGAUCUCUUUGCUGACUCUUUGAGACAUUGCUGUUCUCUCCAGCAGAAUUUCUCAGCAUGUACCACAGGAUUUCCCCAUGCUUCCAAAAUGUUAGAGAGGCUUUCAGGCCAUUUGGAGUUGGCUGUUGUGUUCACAGAAUGUAAAAAUCCAGGGAUGACUCUGGGCUUACCUUUUAUCUGUUGCAGGUAGCCUGUGCGUGAAGUUCUGAGGUCCAUAUCCCAUAGAGCUGAGGAAGGCUUCUCGUGGCUCCUCUCAUAGCCUGUGCAGUCUGCAGACAAUGGAUUGAUUUGAGCUUGCCUUCCUUCGGCUGGCUGACAAGGCCCUUCAGCUUUGAGUCCAUGGGAUCUGCCUGGGUAUGGCACUGUCUUGAGAAAGAGCUGCUGCCAGUUUUUUUGUUUUCCCUGCUGCAAGCUACCUAGAAGCCAGAUUUUCAAGACAAGGCCUGACUGCAGUCAGUAUGUUUUACUGAUUGCUUCAACAAAGCAGCGUGGCUUUACUUCUCAGUCUAGAAAUGGAGUCCUGUACUCG
rnacentral:lncRNA from 1 species